CGAAGCGGGAAAAGCUCAAACUUGUAAUCUGGCGCCUUCGGCGUCCGAGUUGUAAUCUCGAGAAGUGUUUUCCGUGAUAGACCGCAUACAAGUCUCUUGGAACAGAGCGUCAUAGUGGUGAGAACCCAGUACACGAUGCGGAUGCCUAUUACUUUGUGAUACACUUUCGAAGAGUCGAGUUGUUUGGGAAUGCAGCUCAAAUUGGGUGGUAAAUUCCAUCUAAAGCUAAAUAUUGGCGAGAGACCGAUAGCGAACAAGUACCGUGAGGGAAAGAUGAAAAGCACUUUGGAAAGAGAGUUAACAGUACGUGAAAUUGUUGGAAGGGAAACACAUGCAGUGAUACUUGCUAUUCGGGGCAACUCGAUUGGCAGGCCCGCAUCAGUUUUUCGGGGCGGAAAAUCAUAGAGAGAAGGUAGCAGUCUCGGCUGUGUUAUAGCUCUUUAUUGGAUUCGCCCUGGGGGACUGAGGAACGCAGCGUGCUUUUUGCAUGAGCUUCGGCUUAUCCGGGAUUAGAGGCGGUUUAUGGCA
rnacentral:rRNA from 1 species